rnacentral:rRNA from 1 species
UGGGGAAUAUUGCACAAUGGGCGCAAGCCUGAUGCAGCCAUGCCGCGUGUAUGAAGAAGGCCUUCGGGUUGUAAAGUACUUUCAGUCGGGAGGAAGGUGUCAAGGUUAAUAACCUUGGCAAUUGACGUUACCGACAGAAGAAGCACCGGCUAACUCCGUGCCAGCAGCCGCGGUAAUACGGAGGGUGCAAGCGUUAAUCGGAAUUACUGGGCGUAAAGCGCACGCAGGCGGUUGAUUGAGUCAGAUGUGAAAUCCCCGGGCUUAACCCGGGAAUUGCAUCUGAUACUGGUCAGCUAGAGUCUUGUAGGGGGGGGUAGAAUUCCAUGUGUAGCGGUGAAAUGCGUAGAGCUGUGGAGGAAGUCCAGUGGCGAAGGCGGCCCCCUGGACAAAGACUGACGCUCAGGUGCGAAAGCGUGGGGAGCAAACAGG